rnacentral:lncRNA from 1 species
AACAUUGUUUCAUUUCAUGAGUUAUUGGCUUGAGGAGGCUGAUUGCAUUGAUGUGGUUAUUAACAACUCAUGACCUAUUAGACGAUGUGCAAAUCCCCCUGCAGCUUGGAUUGACAAUUUGAGAAGGCUCCGGUCAGCUUUGAAAAGAUGGUCCUUAGCUAAGAGGGUCUUUAAGAAAGAGUUGAAAUAUAGGCUAUUGCAUGAUGUGAAGCUUCUUGAUAAGG